rnacentral:rRNA from 1 species
UACGUAGGGGGCAAGCGUUGUCCGGAUUUAUUGGGCGUAAAGAGCGUGUAGGCGGCCAGACAGGUCCGUUGUGAAAACUCGAGGCUCAACCUCGAGACGCCGAUGGAAACCGUCUGGCUAGAGUCCGGAAGAGGAGAGUGGAAUUCCUGGUGUAGCGGUGAAAUGCGCAGAUAUCAGGAAGAACACCCGUGGCUAAGGCGGCUCUCUAGUACGGUACUGACGCUGAGACGCGAAAGCGUGGGGGAGCGAACAGG